UACGGGGGGGGCAAGCGUUGUUCGGAAUUACUGGGCGUAAAGGGCUCGUAGGCGGCCAACUAAGUCAGACGUGAAAUCCCUCGGCUUAACCGGGGAACUGCGUCUGAUACUGGAUGGCUUGAAUUCGGGAGAGGGAUGCGGAAUUCCAGGUGUAGCGGUGAAAUGCGUAGAUAUCUGGAGGAACACCGGUGGCGAAGGCGGCAUCCUGGACCGAGAUUGACGCUGAUGCGCGAAAGCCAGGGGAGCAAACGGG
rnacentral:rRNA from 1 species